UACAGAGGGUGCAAGCGUUAAUCGGAGUUACUGGGCGUAAAGGGCGCGUAGGUGGUUGUUUAAGUGAGAUGUGAAAGCCCUGGGCUUAACCUAGGAACUGCAUCUUAUACUGGGCAACUGGAGUACUGUAGAGGGUAGUGGAAUUUCCGGUGUAGCGGUGAAAUGCGUAGAGAUCGGAAGGAACACCAGUGGCGAAGGCGGCUACCUGGACAGAUACUGACACUGAGGCGCGAAGAGCGUGGGGAGCAAACAGG
rnacentral:rRNA from 1 species